rnacentral:rRNA from 1 species
GACAGAGGUGCCAAGCGUUAGGCGGAAUCACUGGGCUUAAAGCGUGUGUAGGCGGAUUUGUAAGUACCUUGUGAAAUCCCACGGCUCAACCGUGGAACUGCUCGGUAUACUGCUUAUCUUGAGCCACUUAGGGGCUACCGGAACAAAUGGUGGAGCGGUGAAAUGCGUAGAUAUCUGGAGGAACACCCGUGGUGCAGACGGCUUGCUGGACCGUGACUGACGCUGAGGCACGAAAGCGUGGGUAGCAAACAGG